UACAAUGUUUUGACUCUUCGUCUUAUUUAAAUUUUUUUACCAUUAAUAUUUUUAUUGUUACUAGAUGAUAAAAUAUAAAUAGUACUUUAUGCGUGACUAAUUUUUUGAAGUUUUUUACAAUUUUUUUAAAUAAGACGAAUGACCAAAGCAUUGGACACAAAAAUC
rnacentral:pre_miRNA from 1 species